rnacentral:rRNA from 1 species
GACGUAGGGGGCAAGCGUUUGUCCGGAUUUACUGGGCGUAAAGAGCGCGCAGGCGGUCGUUCAAGUCGAGUGUGAAAGCCCCCCGGCUCAACUGGGGAGGGUCACCCGAUACUGAUCGACUUGAAGGCAGGAGAGGGUAGUGGAAUUCCCGGUGUAGUGGUGAAAUGCGUAGAUAUCGGGAGGAACACCAGUGGCGAAGGC